AGAGUUUGAUCCUGGCUCAGGACGAACGCUCGCGGUGUGCCUAAUACAUGCAAGUCGUACGGGAAUUACGGAUUAUACGGUUGGGUCUACGGUCUCCGUAGAUCUACUGUUUAAUCUGUAAUUCCAGUGGCGGACGGGUGAGUAACGCGUGGGUAAUCUACCUCCAGAUCCUGGAUAACCUUGAGAAAUCGAGGCUAAUACACGAUAAAACAACAGUAUGCAAGUACUGUUGUCAAAGGUGGCUCCUUCGGGAGCUAUUGUCUGGAGAUGAGCCCGCGUCCUAUCAGCUUGUUGGUGGGGUAAUGGCCUACCAAGGCUAAGACGGGUAGCCGGCCUGAGAGGGUGUCCGGCCACACUGGGAUUGAGGUACGGCCCAGACUCCUACGGGAGGCAGCAGUCGGGAAUAUUGCGCAAUGCCCGAAAGGGUGACGCAGCGACACCGCGUGAGGGAAGAAGGCUUUCGGGUCGUAAACCUCUGUCGGGAGGGAAGAAACCUCCUCACGAGAAUACCGUGAGGAGCUGACGGUACCUUCAAAGGAAGCUCCGGCCAACUCCGUGCCAGCAGCCGCGGUAAGACGGGGGGAGCAAGCGUUGUCCGGAAUUAUUGGGCGUAAAGGGCGUGUAGGCGGGCUUGUAAGUCAGGGGUGAAACCCCCGGGCUCAACCCGGAGCCUACCUCUGAUACUGCAGGUCUUGAGUACAGAAGAGGAGGGCGGAAUUCCUGGUGUAGCGGUGAGACGCGUAGAUAUCAGGAAGAACGCCAGUGGCGAAGGCGGCCCUCCGGUCUGAUACUGACGCUGAGGCGCGAAAGCGUGGGGAGCGAACAGGAUUAGAUACCCUGGUAGUCCACGCCGUAAACGAUGGGCAUUAGGUGUUGGCCCGUGAGGAUCAGUGCCGAAGCUAACGCGUUAAAUGCCCCGCCUGGGGAGUACGGCCGCAAGGCUGAAACUCAAAGGAAUUGACGGGGGCCCGCACAAGCGGUGGAGCAUGUGGUUUAAUUCGAGGCAACGCGAAGAACCUUACCAGGGCUUGACAUCCCGUGAGUAGUAACCCGAAAGGGAAGCGACCUGUAAAGUCAGGAAGCGGGACAGGUGCUGCAUGGCUGUCGUCAGCUCGUGCCGUGAGGUGUUGGGUUAAGUCCCGUAACGAGCGCAACCCUUGCCCUUAGUUGCCAUCAGGUAAUGCUGGGAACUCUAAGGGGACUGCCCCGGAUGACGGGGAGGAAGGUGGGGAUGACGUCAAGUCCUCAUGGCCCUUAUGCCCUGGGCUACACACGUGCUACAAUGGGGCCGAUAAUGAGAUGCGAGACCGCGAGGUGGAGCUAAUCUCCUAAACGGCCUCUCAGUUCGGAUUGGAGUCUGCAACUCGACUCCAUGAAGGUGGAAUCGCUAGUAAUCGCGGAUCAGCAUGCCGCGGUGAAUACGUUCCCGGGCCUUGUACACACCGCCCGUCAAGCGACGAAAGUCGGGGGUACCCGAAGCCGUUAUCUUAACUCCGAGCAAUCGGGGAGGGGUGCGUCGAAGGUAAAACCGGUGAUUGGCGCUAAGUCGUAACAAGGUAA
rnacentral:rRNA from 1 species